rnacentral:tRNA from 1 species
GGUAGUGUGGCCGAGAUAUAUGCGGCGAGUUGUACCCUCGCCCACUGGGAAUUCAGCCCACGUUACCAUGCC